rnacentral:lncRNA from 10 species
ACACAGAUCAGACUUUAAGAUUUGUGGAAGAAUCAACAUAUUUAUUUCUCAAGUUAUUGGUCCUGAUCCAACGCCUGAAAGAUGAUUUGGUUGUCCUACAUGGGGCAUGUUUUCGUCAAUACUUAAAGCCUUCAUCGUAGCACUGAAUAGAGAAUGUUUGAAUUGACUAAUCAUUUCACAUUCCUUGAAGUAUUUUUAAUUGAAAAAGGCAGUACAAUUAGUGUGAGGAGACUUUCAAAAACUUUUAGAGGAAGCUGAUAUCUGAUUGUUAUGAGAAGAAAAAACACUGUUCUAAAAUUCUUAAAAUAAUAAAGUUAACUUUAAAUUUCAAAACAUAGUAGGUAAUCUGUUUCUCUCUGGUAUUUUAAUGUCAGGUUUGAAGAGGUAGCAGUUAUUUCUGGGAGGGGGAAUAAACUAUUCUCUCUUCAAUCAGCUCAAAAUUACUUUCUUUUUAGUUACUGUGCUUGUUUUAUCAGCUACUACUCCACUGGUUUUACCAUGUAUUAUUUUUUAUUUUAAUUUUUGCCCUAAUGUUAAUGAUGGCAGCUCCAAAGACAGGUGAGAAAACUUCAUGAGAAAAAAUAUGAUACAUUUCCAAACCCCCAAUUGUCCCCAGAUGUGACCUGGCAGCCUGUCUGUUCUGUGUAGGGAUACACUUGAUGAAGUCUUAAGAACACUGCCCAAGAAACACUAUUUGCUGGAGAGAUGCGUGCUAGUGAGAUGCUCCCCUCUCCAGUACAGCUUGGGAGGUGGGGUUUUCAUUAUUAAUUACAAAUUGCCUCUGGGACGGCGGAACUUAGGGAAGGAGUUAGUGAAUAAAAAUGUGGUGAAGCAAAGAAUGGAGGAGGGCUUUGACACUGCAGCGAAGAGGAUUUGGGGCUAAUGAGAGCAAAUGAUGACGACCAUAAGCUUUUACUAGGAAAAAGCCCCCGCCUGAUUUUUCCUUUCAAAAAUGCCUUCCAUAAAUGGUGGAAAUCCUAUAAAUAUCCCCUCCACAAAUCGGCUGGAGGAAGACACAGCGGGAAGAGGGGGUUUGUGUAGCUUGUGGUGGAGUGGAAUUCCUCGGCCCCAAUUCAGAACCGUUCCCUGUGGGAUCCUUCUGCUUUAAAGUGGUCCGCGGGUGGGGCUCCCAGAGUAUCCAUGUUCUGAGCCAAGCUGAUUAUCUCUGCUUUUUAUCUACAGACGGAAAUAGGAGCAAUACACACAAAAUUAGCUCCAUAAAUAAAUGCUGAGGUCUACUUGCCCGGUCCUCUCUGGCCCAGGAGGCUGUGGGACGUUCUCUGGUCUCUUUCAUCUCUGGUUGUGGCUGGUUGGCCCAGGACACAGGAAACUCGUGUUUUCUGCCAUCAGAGAAGUGCUCUGGUGGCCUCCGUCCAUUUUCCCUGGGGGAGAAAAAUUUACUUUGUACUAAUUGGCCUCCUUCUUGGCAGCACUGGUGCAAUCGUAGCAGUCCCCUGAGCUGAGACUGAGUUCUCCGUGGAAAGGAGAGAAGGUGACAGGCGGCUUGGCUCAAGGACACAAAGCUAAGGGAUGAGGGCAUGUACUUUCUGGAACCUUCUCAGCAACUGGCUGGUCCUAGGACAAAACCUGUCAUCAAAGUCCCUUGCUCAGAGCUGCUCCAGGUGGCGUCUCUCUCCCCAGACACCAUUCCCGCACCCAGCGGCACAGGAUCCCAGGGCAACGUGUGCUGCCUUUCUCUAAAGCACCAUGCAAACUGCAGGUCAAAGGAUGCUCCUUCCAGCAGGUAUUUCAAAUUUCGUAAACAGUCCUUCCCGACUGUGCUGUGCUCAUAAAGCAGUCAUCUUGUCUAAUCCUCCAAGUCGUCCUGGUUUGUGAUCCAUUUUUUGUCGAAUAUUCACUUCGUUUCUCUCUUUCCAGGUUAUCUCUCCUGCUCUGUGAAGUCUGUCUGUCCUUGGAUCAGAACAAUGUAAGGAUUGUGGAUAUAAUUUCCCUGCACGCCGACAUUCGGCCUUACUGAUGAGGUGGGUACCACCAUCUCACUGUAUACCCUUCAUCUUGUAUCUGUUGUUUUUGGUGAUUUUUAAUCCCGGGUAGCUUUCACAUUUUUCUCCUUAUCCUUGUGUUUUGCAGUUUGUUAUGCUGUCUUCACAGGAAUUGGUUUCUAGUUAUCCUGUCUUCCCGGGUAGCUUUCACAUUUUUCUCCUUAUCCUUGUGUUUUGCAGUUUGUUACGCUGUCUUCACAGGAAUUGGUUUCUAGUUAUCCUGUCUAGGACUUGAGGAUAUUUUAAAACCACACCAUGUAUGUCCUUCAAUUCUGGAAAAACUUCAGGCAUUACCUCUACAAAUAUUGACUAUUCCAGAGUCUCACUGUUCUCUUUCUAGAACUUCUAUGAGGUGCCUAUUUAAGCACCUCAUCUUGUUCUCUCUGUCUCUUAAUUUCUCAUAUGUGUUUCCAUUUCUUUAUCUCACUGUGCUGCAGGCUGACGAGUUUUCAGGUUUCUUCCCCCAGUUUUCUGCAGUCAUGCGUCACUUAAUGAUGGGAAUAUGUUCUGAGAAAUGCAUCGUCAGAUGAUUUUGUCAUUGUGUGAACAUCAGAGCGCGUGCUUACACAGACCUGGAUGGUGUGGCCUCCUACACCCCUAGGCUAUGUGGUUUAGCCUCUUGCCCAGGCUACAAACCUAGACAGCAUGUGACUGCACGGAAUACUGUAGGCAAGUGUAACACAAUGGGAAGUAUUUGUGUAUCUAAACAUAGAAAAGGCAUAGCAAAAACACUGUUGGCCAGGCGCAGUGGCUCACGCCUGUAAUCCCAACACUUUGGGAGGCCAAGGAGCGUGGAUCACGAGGUCAGGAGUUUGAGACCAGCCUGGUCAAUAUGGUGAAACCCCAUCUCUACUAAAAAUACAAAAAUUAGCCAGGUGUAGUGACGCGCGCCUGUGGUCCCAGCUACUCGGGAGGCUGAGGAUACAGGAGAAUCGCUUGAACUUGGGAGGCAGAGGUUGCAGUGAGCCAAGAUCGUGCCACUGCACUCCAGCUGGGCGACAGAGCAAG